AUGGUGACGUUCCUCCGGCCGCUCCCUCACGCCCAUGGACCGACCGCCGUCAACGUUCGCCUCCGGAGAAGCCACCGCCUCCAUUCGCCGUCGUCGUUGCUCCCCUGCCGCUGCGGCUGCCUCACGCCCAUGGCGGAGGACCCCCCGCACCCCUACCAGCCAACAAAGGAGGACGACACUGUCCCGAUCUCACAACAGCAACCAGAGCAGCAGCUGCCGCCAGCGGCAUCUCCGCCACCGCCCGACGUCCAGGAACCAAGUACGAGCAGUAGCAGCUGCGGCGACACCAGUUCGUGGCUGCAGCUCGGUACCGGACACUCGGCUUCGUCGUCUUUGCGCGGGAAACGGACAAGAAACGACUAUGAAGCUGGACCCUCGUCGUCCAUACAACCGGACGCUCCGCCGCCGCUGUCAGAGCUAGGGCUGUCUCUGUUCCCAGCUGGUUCUUCGUCGCUGUCGGCAGCGGGUUCAGUGGUGGCGGCGGCGCCUCCUCCAGAGCACCAGGCCGGCACAUGGUUCGUGCUCCAGGCGGCGCAUAACCAGAGAAGGGAGCCGCCAUUGCCGCAGGUGCACAGGAGCUACUUGAGGGUCAGAGACGGGCGGAUGACAGUUAGAGUAGUGAUGGGGUACCUGGUUAGCAAGCUGGGUCUUGAGGACAACUCACAGAUGCUGGAGUCCAGGAGCUAG
rnacentral:rRNA from 1 species